rnacentral:sRNA from 1 species
GCCGGGUGCGGUGGCGCGCGCCUGUAAUCCAAGUUACUGGAGGCUGAGGUGGCGGAUCGUUUGAGCUCAGGAGCUCUGUGCUGCAGCGGACUAUGCCGAUCGGGUGUCCGCACUAAGUUCGGUAUCGAUAUGGUGCUCCUGGGGGAGCCGGACCACCAGGUCGUCUAAGGAGGGGUGCACCGGCCCAGGUCGGAAACGGAGCAGGUCAAAGCCCCCGUGCGCUCAGUAGUGGG